CCUUAUGCCUAUAAAUUGUUGGAAGCUAAUCUUUUAGUUGCAUAGCAGAAGAAGGUGGGGUAAUUUUCUGCAUAGCUUUCUCAGUAUCGAAACACUCCUCUCAAACGAAAGGAUGGGCAGUCAGACAAUGUUGACAAGUAUUACAAGGUUGAUUUUGCUUGUGGUGUUUCUUGGAUGGCUCAUGAUUUGGACCAUGUUGCCUACAAAAACCUACAAAAAUGUCUGGACACCCAACCUACAAAGCAAGCUCAGUUCUACAUAUUUUGGAGCGCAAGGGGUAAAUCUUCUGCUUCUCUCCUUCCCAAUGAUGCUAAUAGCAGCUUUAAGCUGUGUUUAUCUCCAUUUUCAAAAGCAAUCAAAUAGGUCAUACUCAAACUCCACAAUCUUAUAUACAAACUAAAAAAACUAUAUAUACUCAUCAUCAUCAUCAUCAUUAUUAUGAACUGGUUGCAGUAGUGUAAUUACAACAAGUCGCUUGACCUUUUGGAGACAUCCGGCGGUUGUAAAGGCUCCUCUGGGAAUUGUUACGGCAAUGGAGCUUGCUUUUGCGAUCAUGUUCGCUGCACUCUUGGUCUGGUCUCUUGCCAACUACUUAUAUGUCAGCUUUGGCCACCUCCAUAUGCAUAAAGUUGGCGAGAAAGUGUGGGAAGCAAAGUUUCGAAGUGUUUCAUUGAGAUUGGGGUACAUUGGAAACAUAUGCUGGGCAUUUCUCUUCUUUCCUGUAACUCGAGGGUCUUCAAUUUUGCCUCUAUUUGGGCUCACAUCCGAGUCAAGUAUUAAGUAUCACAGUUGGCUUGGCCAUCUCUCGAUGAUACUUUUUGUUGCACACACCCUAGGCUUCAUCAUCUACUGGGGCAUUACUCAUCAAAUGGCUCUGAUUCUUGAAUGGAGCAAAACUUAUGUAUCAAAUGUAGCUGGGGUCACUGCAAUUGUGUUUGCAAUGGCAAUGUGGGUGACGAGCAUUCCACGGGUCAGGCGAAAAAUGUUUGAAGUUUUUUUCUACACCCAUAAUCUCUACCCACUCUACAUCUUCUUCUACAUCUUGCAUGUUGGUGCCUCCUACUUCUGCAUGAUCCUUCCUGGGAUCUUCCUCUUCAUCGUUGAUCGAUACUUGAGAUUUUUACAAUCUUACCAACGAGCCGGCUUAAUCUCAGCACGAGUUUUAUCAUGUGGAACCAUUGAGCUCAACUUCUCCAAGACCCAAGGGUUGGAUUAUAAUCCCACUAGCAUCUUGUUUAUUAAUGUGCCUAGCAUAUCCAAGAUGCAAUGGCACCCUUUUACAGUGACUUCAAACUCUAACAUGGAGCUAGAUAAGCUGAGUGUUGUGAUUAAGAGCCAAGGAAGUUGGUCUCACAAACUCUACAAGCAACUUUCUUCUAAUCUGGAUCAUAUCCAAGUUUCUGUUGAAGGACCUUAUGGCCCUGUUUCAUCUCAUUUCCUAAGGCAUGAGGCUCUGGUGAUGUUCAGUGGAGGAAGUGGAAUUACUCCUAUGAUUUCCAUAAUCCGUGAGAUUAUUUUCCAAAGCACCAAACCUGACUGCCAUGUGCCACGUGUACGGCUCAUCUGUGCCUUCAAGAACUCAGCUGAUCUAUCCACACUUCAACUAUUGCUUCCCAUCUCUUGGGCCCCUGCUGAUUUUGCUGCCCACAUAGACUUGGAAAUCGAAGCCUACGUGACCAGAGAAACAGAGCAGCCUCCGGUAGAGGCCCAAAGGGCCAUUCAAACAGUAUGGUUUAAACCCGACCCGCUGGACUCGCCCGUUUCUGCGGUUUUAGGCCCAAAUAGCUGGCUAUGGCUUGCUGCAAUAGUCUCGUCCUCAUUUGUCUUGUUCCUCUUUGUUUUGGGCCUCACCACUCGUUUCUACAUUUACCCAAUUGACCACAACACUGGAGAAAUUUACGAUUACUCCUUCAGAUGUCUUUGGUACAUGUUUUUGGUCUGUGCCUCCAUUUUCAUGGUGUCUAGCUUAGUUUUCCUUUGGUGCAAGAGACAAAAUGCCACGGAAGGGAAGCAAGUUCAGAACGUGGAUGCCUAUGGAACUCAUGUUCAAGAACUUGAAAGCCAUCCACAGAAUCAAGAGUGCCCAAUUGCUCAAGCCACCCAGGUGCAUUAUGGAACAAGGCCUGAUCUCAAAAAAAUUCUGCUGGGGUCCAAAGAAUCUGAUGUGGGAGUGUUGGUGUGUGGGCCAAGGAAGAUGAGACAUGAGGUUGCUAAAAUUUGUUCAUCUGGUUUGGCAGAUAAUCUGCAUUUCGAGUCCAUUAGCUUCAACUGGUGAUCAAAUCAGCCUGUACAGUGCCAUAAUGCUAUGUAAAUUCUGUAUAAAAUUGUGUGUGUGUGUGUUAUUUUUGGGUGGAUUGGAUUGAACUCAAUAGUUGAUGUAUAAUA